GGCCUAAUGGCCCAAUGGCAAGGCGCUUGACUACGAAUCAAGAGAUUCCAGGUUGUAAGUAGUGUCC